ACACUAGGCAUCUCUUCAUAUGAUACAACGCAUCAAAACAUAAUCAGAAAUUACACUAUAACAAAUAAUCAUUAUAGUACAACAGUGCAUUCAUUGUUUACAAUACUCUCAACCCCACGCGGUUACCAGCGC